GCGCAGAGUAGCUAAGGAUCCUGAAGAAAUGAUCCUCCCUGCUCAACCUAUGGAGCAUUGUCAAAACAAUCAGCCAGAGAAAGAAAUGAACAUCCCUGCUCAACCUAUGGAGCAUUGUCCUCAAAACAAUCAGCCAGAGAAAGAAAUGAUCCUCCCUGCUCAACCUACGGAGCAUUGGACUCAAAACAAUCAGCCAGAGAAAGAAAUGAUCAUCCCUGCUCAACCUACGGAGCAUUGGACUCAAAACAAUCAGCCAGAGAAAGGAAUGAUCAUCCCUGCUCAACCUACGGAGCAUUGUCAAAACAAUAAGCCAGAGAAAGAAAUGAUCCUCCCUCAACCUACGGAGCAUUGUCAAAACAAUCAGCCAGAGAAUAUUGAGACAGCGC
rnacentral:lncRNA from 1 species